UAAAAAUGAAACAUAUAGUUCUAUUAUUUUUAUUUCUUAUUUCUUAUGAAACAGUUAAUAGUGAUUUAAUUGAUUGUGUUGAAAUGUGUGAUGUCGGUGCACAAAACGAAGCACAGAAGAUAGAAUGUUUAUUAUCUUGUUAUAAGGAGGUUACUUGUGGAGGAUACAAAUU